CCAAUAGCGUAUAUUAAAGUUGUUGCAGUUAAAAAGCUCGUAGUUGAACCUCGGGGUCUACCCAUUGGUCAGGCUUAAUUGUCUGCACUGGUGAGAUGGAUCUCUACCUUCUGAGGAACUUUCAUGCCAUUUAUUUGGUGUGAUGGGAAAUCAGGACUGUUACUUUGAAAAAAUUAGAGUGUUUAAAGCAGACUAUCGUCUGAAUACAUUAGCAUGGAAUAAUGAAAUAGGACGGACUGAUUCUAUUUCGUUGGUUUCUAGGAUCACCGUAAUGAUUAAUAGGGAUAGUUGGGGGCAUUAGUACUCAAUUGUCAGAGGUGAAAUUCUUGGAUUUAUUGAAGACUAACUACUGCGAAAGCAUCUGCCAAGGAUGUUUUCAUUAAUCAAGAACGAAAGUUAGGGGAUCGAAGACGAUCAGAUACCGUCGUAGUCUUAACCAUAAACUAUGCCGACUAGGGAUCGGAUGAUGUUAAUUUUUUAAUGACUCAUUCGGCGCCUUACG
rnacentral:rRNA from 1 species